rnacentral:rRNA from 1 species
CACGUAGGGCGCGAGCGUUGUCCGGAAUUAUUGGGCGUAAAGAGCUCGUAGGCGGCCUGUUGCGUCCGCUGUGAAAGCCCGGGGCUUAACCCCGGGUCGGCAGUGGAUACGGGCAGGCUAGAGGUAGGCAGGGGAGAAUGGAAUUCCCGGUGUAGCGGUGAAAUGCGCAGAUAUCGGGAGGAACACCGGUGGCGAAGGCGGUUCUCUGGGCCUUACCUGACGCUGAGGAGCGAAAGCGUGGGGAGCAAACAGG